CUCACAUAAUAAAUAAGCCUAUCAAGAAGGCAAUUUAUAUUAAUUUAGAAUAAACUAGACUCUGUGUCCUCUGAAUUAAACACCAAUGAGCACCCAAAAGUUUAGACUUCCUUGCUUUUAUUACUUAUAUCUGUUUAUUUUUUAUGAUGCAGUCUCUGAGCCUGUUCCAUUUGAAACUGAAGCUCCCUCAAUGACCAUAGUUCCCACCACAGACAUUGAGCCUGUAACUGUGAGAACUGAGGCUACAGUGACAACAUUAGCUCCAAAAACAUCGCAACGAACAAGAACACGUCGUCCACGUCCCAAACAUAAAACCACGCCACGCCCAGAGACACCGCAGACCAAACUAGACUUUGGACCUAUUACUCCUGGGACAUCUUCAGCUCCAACAACAACAACAAAAAGAACCCGUCGUCCACAUCCCAAACCUAAAACCACGCCCCAUCCAGAAGUACCUCAGACUAAACUGGUUCCUGCCACAAUCCUCGAACCAGUUCUUAGAACUGAGGCUUCAGGGACAACAGCAG
rnacentral:sRNA from 1 species